AUUGACAGACAGUUACCAUGCCCUUUCGAAAGGAGUCAGGUUUUAAACCUAAUGGCUCUUUCAUGAUUAUAUGAUAGGUGGUGCAUGGCCGUUCUUAGUUCGUGGAGUGAUCUGUCUGCUUAAUUGCGUUUCAAAUUUUUAUUUGAGGACCAGGUUUUGGUUUGGGUAGUGGUCCUACGAUGACUGUGAACUGUCAUGUCUUCGGAUGUGCGACUAUCGGUCUAGGAUCGCAUCUCAGCCCCUGGGACUCUUUUGAACGCAACGGACGUGAUUGCAACCCCUUGUUGAGAUUAGAGGAGUCUCGAUAUUCAUUGGCCAAACUUACCGCUUCGAGCUUGCUCGUGCAGUUUUGUUAGCCGGUGGAUAAACUCGGGGGACUGCUGACUAUAACCAUUUCUCAAAACAGAGGAAGGUUGCGGCAAUAACAGGUCUGUGAUGCCCUCAGAUGU
rnacentral:rRNA from 1 species